rnacentral:ncRNA from 2 species
AGCAGCCGCGGUAAUUCCAGCUCCAAUAGCGUAUAUUAAAGUUGUUGCAGUUAAAAAGCUCGUAGUUGAACUUCGGGGUUUACUCAUUGGUCAGGCUUAAUUGUCUGUACUGGUGAGAUGAAUCUCUACCUUCUGAGGAACUUUCAUGCCAUUUAUUUGGUGUGGUUGGAAAUCAGGACUGUUACUUUGAAAAAAUUAGAGUGUUUAAAGCAGGCUAACGUCUGAAUACAUUAGCAUGGAAUAAUGAAAUAGGACGGAUUGAUUCUAUUUCGUUGGUUUCUAGGGUCACCGUAAUGAUUAAUAGGGAUAGUUGGGGGCAUUAGUAUUCAAUUGUCAGAGGUGAAAUUCUUGGAUUUAUUGAAGACUAACUACUGCGAAAGCAUUUGCCAAGGAUGUUUUCAUUAAUCAAGAACGAAAGUUAGGGGAUCGAAGACGAUCAGAUACCGUCGUAGUCUUAACCAUAAACUAUGCCGACUAGGGAUCGGACGAAGUUAAUUAAUAAUGACGCGUUCGGCACCUU